GCUAUAAUGCAGUAGAACGCUGAAGAGAGGAGCUUGCUCUUCUUGGAUGAGUUGCGAACGGGUGAGUAACGCGUAGGUAACCUGCCUUGUAGCGGGGGAUAACUAUUGGAAACGAUAGCUAAUACCGCAUAACAAUGGAUGACACAUGUCAUUUAUUUGAAAGGGGCAAUUGCUCCACUACAAGAUGGACCUGCGUUGUAUUAGCUAGUAGGUGAGGUAACGGCUCACCUAGGCGACGAUACAUAGCCGACCUGAGAGGGUGAUCGGCCACACUGGGACUGAGACACGGCCCAGACUCCUACGGGAGGCAGCAGUAGGGAAUCUUCGGCAAUGGGGGCAACCCUGACCGAGCAACGCCGCGUGAGUGAAGAAGGUUUUCGGAUCGUAAAGCUCUGUUGUAAGUCAAGAACGAGUGUGAGAGUGGAAAGUUCACACUGUGACGGUAGCUUACCAGAAAGGGACGGCUAACUACGUGCCAGCAGCCGCGGUAAUACGUAGGUCCCGAGCGUUGUCCGGAUUUAUUGGGCGUAAAGCGAGCGCAGGCGGUUUGAUAAGUCUGAAGUUAAAGGCUGUGGCUCAACCAUAGUUCGCUUUGGAAACUGUCAAACUUGAGUGCAGAAGGGGAGAGUGGAAUUCCAUGUGUAGCGGUGAAAUGCGUAGAUAUAUGGAGGAACACCGGUGGCGAAAGCGGCUCUCUGGUCUGUAACUGACGCUGAGGCUCGAAAGCGUGGGGAGCGAACAGGAUUAGAUACCCUGGUAGUCCACGCCGUAAACGAUGAGUGCUAGGUGUUGGAUCCUUUCCGGGAUUCAGUGCCGCAGCUAACGCAUUAAGCACUCCGCCUGGGGAGUACGACCGCAAGGUUGAAACUCAAAGGAAUUGACGGGGGCCCGCACAAGCGGUGGGAGCAUGUGGUUUUAUUUCGAAGCAACGCGAAG
rnacentral:rRNA from 1 species